UACGUAGGGGGCGAGCGUUGUCCGGAAUCAUUGGGCGUAAAGCGCGUGUAGCGGCCCGGUAAGUCCGCUCUGAAAGUCCAGGGCUCAACCCUGGGAUGCGGGUGGAUACUGCCGGGCUCGAGUCCGGAAGAGGCGAGUGGAAUUCCCGGUGUAGCGGUGAAAUGCGGCAGAUAUCGGGAGGAACACCAAUGGCGAAGGCAGCUCGCUGGGACGUGACUGACGCUGAGACGCGAAAGCGUGGGGAGCAAACAGG
rnacentral:rRNA from 1 species